rnacentral:misc_RNA from 1 species
UAAUUGUUUAGUACAGGUUGGGUGUAUGUGGUGCGACCAGUUGAUGACGGGUAGCACCAUCUGCUGGUUUUGGACUUCCUGAGAGAAAGACAUUAUACGUUAAUAAAUUAUUGCUUCUUGUGAGCAAGGUUAGAAGACAUCACCAUUAUAUGGAUUUGAGAAUACUUGUGUUCCUUGUGGUCCUUGUGGUUUUUGUUUAAGUUGUAGUCUUGCAGUUAUCUCUUCUCGUGUUGACAUAUAUA